UACGGAGGGUGCAAGCGUUGUCCGGAAUCACUGGGCGUAAAGGGCGCGUAGGCGGCUCAUGAAGGCUGUGGUGAAAGUCCGGGGCUCAACCUCGGAUCGGCCGUGGCGACUCGUGGGCUGGAGCACUGUAGAGGCGGGUGGAAUUCCGGGUGUAGCGGUGAAAUGCGCAGAUAUCAGGAGGAACACCGGUGGCGAAGGCGGGUCUCUGGGCCGAUAUUGACGCUGAGGAGCGAAAGCGUGGGGAGCGAACAGG
rnacentral:rRNA from 1 species